GGAUGUGUGUACCAUCUGGUUGGGACAUCUGUCACUGUGCUGAUCUGCAGGGCUGAUUCAACUAAUCUAGCUGGUUAGGUGGCUGUCCCCAUUCUCCCUCACUACUCCACACAGCUUUCUCCCAAAGUCUACUAAUAGUAGACAAAAACAAAUUCACCUUUUACUCUUUGAAGGAAGGAACUGAAGUGACAGCUUUUUCUUCUU
rnacentral:snRNA from 1 species